rnacentral:tmRNA from 1 species
GGGGGCGAAAGGAUUCGACGGGGUUCUUUGGAAUGAGGGUUGCAUGCCGGGUUGCCAUACUCCCGUAAAAGGUGGCAAUAAAUAACUGGCGAAUACGCCUACGCACUGGCUGCUUAACGCAGUCACGUCCUCUCUAUAAACCCUGCUCCUGGUUUUGGAGAUGGGCGUGGAUAAAGGGAGCUGGUCUUCCCUGUUUGCCCUGGUAAGGAAGACGAGAUAUCUUGGGCUUUGGCGGGGACAACUUGGUUGCAGGAGGUGUCUCUGCUGAGAAGAAAACUGUAACUAAGCAUGUAGAUACUCUCAUAGCCGGUUCUCCGGACGCGGGUUCGAUUCCCGCCGCCUCCACCA